GGUUAAGUGACUAAGCGUACACGGUGGAUGCCUUGGCAGUCAGAGGCGAUGAAAGACGUAGUAACUUGCGAUAAGCCCAGAUUAGGUAGUAACAACCAUUUGAGUCUGGGAUUUCUGAAUGGGGAAACCCACUUACAUAAGUAAGUAUCAUUAACUGAAUACAUAGGUUAAUGAGGCGAACCGGGGGAACUGAAACAUCUAAGUACCCCGAGGAAAAGAAAUCAACCGAGAUUCCGAAAGUAGCGGCGAGCGAAAUUGGACUAGCCCUUAAGCUUUACACGCGUUAGACGAACGGUCUGGAAAGUCCGACGAUACAGGGUGAUAGUCCCGUAGUUGACGACGUGUGUUCAGUGAAAUCGAGUAGGGCGGGACACGUGAUAUCCUGUCUGAAUAUGGGGGGACCAUCCUCCAAGGCUAAAUACUACUGACUGACCGAUAGUGAACCAGUACCGUGAGGGAAAGGCGAAAAGAACCCCUGUGAGGGGAGUGAAAUAGAACCUGAAACCGUGUACGUACAAGCAGUAGGAGCAGGCUUUGUCCUGUGACUGCGUACCUUUUGUAUAAUGGGUCAGCGACUUAUAUUCAGUGGCAAGGUUAACCAUCUAGGGGAGCCGUAGGGAAACCGAGUCUUAACUGGGCGUUCAGUCUCUGGAUAUAGACCCGAAACCAGGUGAUCUAGCCAUGGGCAGGUUGAAGGUUGAGUAACAUCAACUGGAGGACCGAACCGACUAAUGUUGAAAAAUUAGCGGAUGACUUGUGGCUAGGGGUGAAAGGCCAAUCAAACCUGGAGAUAGCUGGUUCUCCCCGAAAGCUAUUUAGGUAGCGCCUCGGACGAAUACUACUGGGGGUAGAGCACUGUUAAGGCUAGGGGGUCAUCCCGACUUACCAACCCUUUGCAAACUCCGAAUACCAGUAAGUACUAUCCGGGAGACACACGGCGGGUGCUAACGUCCGUCGUGGAGAGGGAAACAACCCAGACCGCCAGCUAAGGUCCCAAAUUACUACUAAGUGGGAAACGAUGUGGGAAGGCUCAGACAGCCAGGAUGUUGGCUUAGAAGCAGCCAUCAUUUAAAGAAAGCGUAAUAGCUCACUGGUCGAGUCGGCCUGCGCGGAAGAUGUAACGGGGCUAAGUAGUAAACCGAAGCUGCGGCAAUGUGCUUUUGCACAUUGGGUAGGGGAGCGUUCUGUAAGCGGUUGAAGGUGUGUGGUAACGCAUGCUGGACGUAUCAGAAGUGCGAAUGCUGACAUGAGUAACGAUAAAGGGGGUGAAAAACCUCCUCGCCGGAAGACCAAGGGUUCCUGUCCAACGUUAAUCGGGGCAGGGUAAGUCGACCCCUAAGGCGAGGCCGAAAGGCGUAGUCGAUGGGAAACGGGUUAAUAUUCCCGUACUUCUUACAAUUGCGAUGGGGGGACGGAGAAGGCUAGGUGGGCCUGGCGACGGUUGUCCAGGUUCAAGUGCGUAGGCUUAAGAGUUAGGUAAAUCCGGCUCUUUUUAAGGCUGAGACACGACGUCGAGCACCUACGGGUGUGAAGUCAUUGAUGCCAUGCUUCCAGGAAAAGCCUCUAAGCUUCAGAUUGUAAGGAAUCGUACCCCAAACCGACACAGGUGGUCGGGUAGAGAAUACCAAGGCGCUUGAGAGAACUCGGGUGAAGGAACUAGGCAAAAUGGUACCGUAACUUCGGGAGAAGGUACGCUCUUGAUGGUGAAGUCCCUUGCGGAUGGAGCUGACGAGAGUCGCAGAUACCAGGUGGCUGCAACUGUUUAUUAAAAACACAGCACUGUGCAAAAUCGUAAGAUGACGUAUACGGUGUGACGCCUGCCCGGUGCCGGAAGGUUAAUUGAUGGGGUUAGACUUCGGUCGAAGCUCUUGAUCGAAGCCCCGGUAAACGGCGGCCGUAACUAUAACGGUCCUAAGGUAGCGAAAUUCCUUGUCGGGUAAGUUCCGACCUGCACGAAUGGCGUAAUGAUGGCCACGCUGUCUCCACCCGAGACUCAGUGAAAUUGAAAUCGCUGUGAAGAUGCAGUGUACCCGCGGCUAGACGGAAAGACCCCGUGAACCUUUACUACAGCUUGGCACUGAACAUUGACCCUACAUGUGUAGGAUAGGUGGGAGGCUUUGAAGCACGUACGCCAGUAUGUGUGGAGCCGUCCUUGAAAUACCACCCUUGUAGUGUUGAUGUUCUAACGUCGACCCCUUAUCGGGGUUGCGGACAGUGCCUGGUGGGUAGUUUGACUGGGGCGGUCUCCUCCCAAAGAGUAACGGAGGAGCACGAAGGUGGGCUAAUCACGGUUGGACAUCGUGAGGUUAGUGCAAUGGCAUAAGCCCGCUUGACUGCGAGAAUGACAAUUCGAGCAGGUGCGAAAGCAGGUCAUAGUGAUCCGGUGGUUCUGAAUGGAAGGGCCAUCGCUCAACGGAUAAAAGGUACUCCGGGGAUAACAGGCUGAUACCGCCCAAGAGUUCAUAUCGACGGCGGUGUUUGGCACCUCGAUGUCGGCUCAUCACAUCCUGGGGCUGAAGUCGGUCCCAAGGGUAUGGCUGUUCGCCAUUUAAAGUGGUACGCGAGCUGGGUUUAGAACGUCGUGAGACAGUUCGGUCCCUAUCUGCCGUGGGCGUUGGAAGAUUGAAGGGGGCUGCUCCUAGUACGAGAGGACCGGAGUGGACGAACCUCUGGUGUUCGGGUUGUGUCGCCAGACGCAUUGCCCGGUAGCUAAGUUCGGAAUCGAUAACCGCUGAAAGCAUCUAAGCGGGAAGCGAGCCCUGAGAUGAGUCUUCCCUGAUACUUUAAGUAUCCUAAAGGGUUGUCGGAGACUACGACGUUGAUAGGUCAGGUGUGUAAGUGCUGUGAGGCAUUGAGCUAACUGAUACUAAUUGCCCGUGAGGCUUAACCAU
rnacentral:rRNA from 1 species